CGGUUUGGGUGGCGGACGGGUGAGUAACGCGUAAAGAACUUGCCUCACAGAUAGGGACAACAUUUGGAAACGAAUGCUAAUACCUGAUAUUAUGAUUUUAAGGCAUCCUAGAAUUAUGAAAGCUAUAUGCGCUGUGAGAGAGCUUUGCGUCCCAUUAGCUAGUUAGAGAGGUAACGGCUCACCAAGGCGAUGAUGGGUAGCCGGCCUGAGAGGGUGAUCGGCCACAAGGGGACUGAGACACGGCCCUUACUCCUACGGGAGGCAGCAGUGGGGAAUAUUGGACAAUGGACCAAGAGUCUGAUCCAGCAAUUCUGUGUGCACGAUGAAGUUUUUCGGAAUGUAAAGUGCUUUCAGUCGGGAAGAAAAAAAUGACGGUACCAACAGAAGAAGUGACGGCUAAAUACGUGCCAGCAGCCGCGGUAAUACGUAUGUCACAAGCGUUAUCCGGAUUUAUUGGGCGUAAAGCGCGUCUAGGUGGUUAUGUAAGUCUGAUGUGAAAAUGCAGGGCUCAACUCUGUAUUGCGUUGGAAACUGUGUAACUAGAGUACUGGAGAGGUAAGCGGAACUACAAGUGUAGAGGUGAAAUUCGUAGAUAUUUGUAGGAAUGCCGAUGGGGAAGCCAGCUUACUGGACAGAUACUGACGCUGAAGCGCGAAAGCGUGGGUAGCAAACAGGAUUAGAUAUCCUGGUAGUCCACGCCGUAAACGAUGAUUACUAGGUGUUGGGGGUC
rnacentral:rRNA from 1 species